UACGAGGGGGGCAAGCGUUGUUCGGAAUUAUUGGGCGUAAAGGGCGCGUAGGCGGUGUCGCAAGUCCGUGGUGAAAUCUCUAGGCUCAACUUAGAGACUGCCGCGGAAACUGCGGUGCUUGAGUGUGGGAGAGGUGCGUGGAAUUCCCGGUGUAGCGGUGAAAUGCGUAGAUAUCGAGGAGACACCUGUGGCGAAAGCGGCUCACUGGACCA
rnacentral:rRNA from 1 species